rnacentral:lncRNA from 1 species
ACUCCGCACUCUUAGGCUGCGUGUGAGGCCUGCGAGUGCUCGGGAGCUGCCGCGGUCACAAGAGAAAGCCUAGCUGUCAAUGACAGCCCCAGAGCAUCUGGGCGCCUUGCGAUACCCGGGUGUCUGUAGGCAGCCAGGAGACACUUCCAAGCUGAUCUGGAAUCUUUCCUCGCCCAGCUCUGUCCCUCGCAGGGAUGGCAAAGGACAUUACGACCUACAUCCCUUCCCGGAUCUGAUGGCUUCAGAUUGGCAGAUUGUGUUAAAGUGGAAGGCUCGUGGUGCCCCUUUGCUGAGUUUUUAUGGACUUAGUUUUCCCAAGUAGUUCUAAUUAUCGCUGGGGGGGUGGGGUGGGGCGGGAACGUAAUUUCUGCGUCUGCCCUUAAAUACCUUUAAACCUUGGCUGCAUUGCCGCUUUUAUGGAAUUUCACCCAUAGUCUGUCUUUUUUAGUUUCCCUGAUACGCAUCUUUCUUAAUAAUAAUAAUAAUAAAUAAAU